rnacentral:lncRNA from 1 species
CAGGGAAAAAAGUAAAAAAAAAAUAAGCAUUAUAAAUAUUCAAAUGAAAAUAUUUAUUGAGUUGUUAGAAUGAAAUUGUCUAGGGUCACACAACCAAUGUUUAAGGCUUCUUCAUGAGAAUAUAAAUAAUGCCUUAAAAUAAAUAACAUAGCUUUUCUUAAAUUCUAAAAAUGUAUACCUGAAUUUAUAAAACCUGCAUGAUUUUAAAACUUAACACUGAAAUAUUAGAAAACAAGAAUGUGUCCAGAGUACACGGAUGCCCCACUCGCACUAUCAUCUUCUAUGUUAAGUGGACCGUGGAAUUGAGGUCAAAACUCUAAUUUGGCAUUAAAAUUAGAAAGAUCAUAUCACAGGGAACAUGUGUUCUAAGUUUCAAGUUAAUUGGACUUCAACUUCAUCAAAAACUACCUUGACCAAAAACUUUAACCUGAAACUUGAACUAUCAUUUUCUAUGUUCAGUGGACCAUGAAACUGGGGUCAAAACUCUAAUUUGGCAUUAAAAUUUGAAAGAUCAUAUCAUAGGGAACAUGUGUACUAAGUUUCAAGUUGAUUGAACUUCAACUUCAUCAAAAACUACCUUGACCAAAAACUUUAACCUGAAACGGGACAGACGGACGAACAGACGAACAAACAGACGGACGCACAGACCAGAAAAAUGAAUAAUCAUUUUUUCAUUAAUCUAAUUAAGAUUUUGCGUUAUUCUAAUCAAAUUUUUAACAUACAUGAAUUAGCAGCACUUACAAAAUAAUUAUGGGUGUUUAUCGUUUUGAAUAGAUGUAUUUCAUGUUUAAAGCCAAUGGUCCCAUUUACUUCUUUAAAUUGAUUGAGGGGUAAAGUUCAUCUACACUAGCCUGUCAACACUUGUAAUUUUAAACCCUGCUUGUUACAUGACAUUUGAUAUUUUUUGGCUGAUUUGUUCAAAUAAUUUAAAUAAUGUAUCUAAUUCAGAAAAAAAAAUAUGUUUUCCUUGUAAGUUUGAUGAAAUACAGAGAUUAAUGUGUUGUGAAUAAUAUGCAAACUGCCAUGUUUUACAGACAACAUUAUUCAAAUACAUUUAGUGUGAAUUUUAUUGUACAUGAGGGAAAGGGGGGGAUAGCAGACUGACAUUAAGGAAACAAAUCUGACCGAUUUUACAGUACAUAAAUCAUAUAUAAUAUGAACUUAAUUUUUCUAUAAAAUUUGUUAUAAAUAAACUCAAAAUAUAAAUCAACCAUGAUAAAAAAAAAAAUAUUUAAUUACCAAUAGC